rnacentral:rRNA from 1 species
UACGUAGGGGGCGAGCGUUGUUCGGAAUUACUGGGCGUAAAGGGCGUGUAGGCGGCCAACUAAGUCCGACGUGAAAUCCCCAGGCUUAACCUGGGAACUGCGUCGGAUACUGGAUGGCUUGAAUCCGGGAGAGGGAUGCAGAAUUCCAGGUGUAGCGGUGAAAUGCGUAGAUAUCUGGAGGAAUACCGGUGGCGAAGGCGGCAUCCUGGACCGGCAUUGACGCUGAAGCGCGAAAGCUAGGGGAGCAAACGGG